AUAGUGAAAGAAUCUACUAAUCUUCAUACAAGUAUUUGAUCAAAUUUAAAUCACAUACAUGCAUUCAACUCUAAUACAACUUUGCAUCAUUUCUUUUAUACAUCACAAAUUCUCCAAAAUAUGAAUACUUGUAUUUAACUUUAAAAGAUCUUUUACAUUAUUCAUUUAAUAUGUUCAUAAUACUAACAUCAUCAAAAUA
rnacentral:lncRNA from 1 species